AGCACAUGUUUAGGGCAUGUGUCUAGGGCUGGCUGAGCAUUUGGCUGAAUGGGAGCCAUAAGUGUCAUCCCAUCCUCCCCACCUCAAAGCCAGCACCUGACAGCUCUGCUGUGGCCUCACCAGAGAAUUGUCCAUGAAAUGCUGCUUGCACAGGAUGAUUCUAGCAGGAACACUCACAUUCCUGGUGGGAUGGAGGAUCUUGUGAUCUGUGCUGGGCUUUCCGGGCAGUGGGGAGAGGAUGCUCUCCCCGACGGCUGCUUCCUGAGGAACCAGCUGCCAGCAGCUGGCAGCAGUCAGCAGGGUGCCACAGCCUGCCGGCCAUCCCGGCCUUCCUGCUGUCCCUGCAACCCAGCCAUGUCCGGGAAGAGCAUCCGAGGGAUAGGGACAAGCCCUGAGGGGCUGUGCAUGGCGGGGAGGGCACUAUGGCUCUCCCAAUCCCCCCAUCCUGGGGCUCUGGGGGAUGAAGGAAAUGUCACAAGGCUGGGAAGGUGCUCAGAAUCCAUCAGAGGGGCUUGCUUGGGGGGUAGCAGUGGGCAGGGGGAGCAGCAGCAGGGGGUUGAGGAUGCUUCUCCCACUCUGAUGUGCAGCAUCUGCUCCCAUCACCCUCCUCAUGGAGCCUCUGCCAUAUCCCUGGCUCAUGGCUGUCUUGGCUGGACUCAAAGCGAACCGCUCUUAUCUCUGCCUCAGCUUCCCGAUGAUAAGGGUGGCAUGUCUGGAGGUGAACUGGGCAGACUGUCCCCCCUGUCCCUGUCUCUAUCUGUGGCUGCUAUUUGUCACCAAGCAGCUGCAGCCACAGACACAAUGAAUUCAGCCCAGUCUUCCCAAGCAGAUCCCCAGCUCCUCUGAUGCCCACAUCUGGCACUCCCAGGGCAAGGCAAGAGCCCACCUCCCAUAGGCAAGGCCCAAGGAGGAGAUGCCUGGCUGAGCAGGGCACUGCUGGCCACAGGGAGGUGCAGGAAGAUUGUCCAGAGCUGCAGGGACAGAGAGCUAUGGUAAGACAUAGAUGACGCUUGGCUAUUCAUGCCAACUUCAGGGGUCCCUGCCCAGUGUGGCAGAUCCUGGACACAAGCAAAGCUCCUCUGUCCUGUUUACCACAAUGCCCCCUCCCUACAUGGGAUCACACCCUCAG
rnacentral:lncRNA from 1 species